AACGAACGCUGGCGGCAUGCCUAACACGUGCAAGUCGAACGAAUGCCUUCGGGUGCUAGUGGCGCACGGGUGCGUAACGCGUGGGAAUCUGCCCUUUGGUUCGGAAUAACAGUUGGAAACGACUGCUAAUACCGGAUGGUGACGAAAGUCCAAAGAUUUAUCGCCAGAGGAUGAGCCCGCGUAGGAUUAGCUAGUUGGUG
rnacentral:rRNA from 1 species